UGAAUAUUGCUUCGAUGUCCGGUGUAAAACUUGGGACUUGCUCAUUUACAGGACACAGAAUUUACCCCGGUCACGGCAGUUCAUACGUUACUGUUGAUGGACGACUUCAUAACUUUAUAUCUCAUAAAGUUGCUUCCUUGCACUUUCAAAGAAAAUCUAAGCGUUUAAUAGCUUGGACACAAGCUUAUCGAAAGAUACAUAAGAAAGGUGCUUCGACAGUUGCUAAAAAACGCAAAACCAGAAAGACUGUUAAGGCUGAUCGAGCCAUUGAAGGUUUAUCUAAAGAAAAACUAGAAAAAUUCAAAAAUGAGUCUUCUGAAGAUCGAGAAGCAAGAAGGAAGGCGAUCCUUCGGCGAGCGAAGGAACAUCAUCAGAAGUUGCGAGAGCAGCAACGAGCUGCUCAGCAAGUUGUAGCGGCCCUGCCUUCUAAAGCGAAAGGAGGUAAAACGCGGUCUAAUCAAACAAAACCUCAUACUUCUGGCAAAUCUAAGAAAUAAUUAGUACUUCAGUGGUA